CUACGGAGGGUGCAAGCGUUACUCGGAAUCACUGGGCGUAAAGCGCGCGCAGGCGGCUUGAUAAGUUGGAUGUGAAAGCCUACGGCUCAACCGUAGAACUGCAUCCAAAACUAUUAGACUAGAGUGUGGGAGAGGAAGAUGGAAUUAGUUGUGUAGGGGUAAAAUCCGUAGAGAUAACUAGGAAUACCAAAAGCGAAGGCAAUCUUCUGGAACACUACUGACGCUGAGGCGCGAAAGCGUGGGGAGCAAACAGGAUUAGAUACCCCAGUAGUCC
rnacentral:rRNA from 1 species